GCUCUCCUCUCUUCCCCGCCCCCUCCCACGAAACCCUAGCCGCCGCGCGUGCAACAACCGCCGCGCUACCAGCCCCUCCACGGCUUGACGCCACAGCGCACUCCUCCUUCCACCUCCUGGCCGGCGCCCAACCUCUACAGCUCUCCUUCCCUCCCCGCGCCCGAAACCCUAGCUCUGCAGGAGGUGCAGCAGAGAGGUCCCAGCGACCACGGCGGCGCAUCCAUGGCAAGUCCACCUCGCGGCCAGGCGGAGCGACGAGUGGAGGUCAAGUGGAGCGCGCCUUCGCCACCGGCUGGCGCAUCGAGGGGAGGAGGCCAGGACUGGGCGACUUCGACUCCGGCUCCUCUCCGCCGUCGCUUCUCCACCCAACGCAUGCUCCUCGCUGGUGUGCAGAUCCACGCCCGCGCCGACUCGACGAUGGCCUGUGGUUUCGCGGGUGUCGUCGCGCCACACCACUCCCGGACCUGCUCUAAUUGCAUUUGCAGCAAUGCAGAAACUUAGCCAAUCGGCAAUCGUUGUACAAAGACAGAUGUGGUUCAUUGAGCCAAUUCAACAUGGAGGGGCUUUGUGCAGCUUGGUCUCAACAUAUGCAGUCAAAGCAUCAUCUCCAGCCCGACAUCAAACAGUACCCUUAACAAAGCUACACGAUGGAUGCUAUUUGUCAUAUUUUGACCGAUGAAUCUGUUUGGAUAGAUUAUACAUGAUUGAUGUGGUUAUCAGAUGAUUGCAGUCUACCCCAAGGUGAGUUUAUCCUUUUGGUUUAUGCAAAAAUGCUUAUUUGGCUUCAUGUAUAACAUGAUUUUCAGCAUCUAAUAUUUGUUCUGUCCAACAUGAGUACAUGAGAAAGAAGUGCUACUGCUACAUUACUGCUGCUUGCCUAGGGAAAAGAGAGUUCCAUUGUAAAAUAAGAUGUCAGGUAUUGAGGGCUAGACUGUACAUGGCAAAGAUUAAUGUGUUACGGUGAAACCAAAUCUUUAGUGUUUGGGUGUCAUCUUUGUUAACUUAUUAUUAAGCAUAUCAACUAUGUAUUUUGUCCCACAUGAAUGAUUGACAAAAACUCUGCUUUUUACGACAUCAUGUCUCACUUAUUGUCAUGUCUAAAUAUUUGAAUUUUAUGUUGAUGUUUUGAUCGUGGAUGCCAAAACAUCACAGUUUGCCUGAUAGAGUGAAUUCCAUUAUAAAAUGAAGUUCCUUCCAUCAAUUAUAUAGCUUUUAUUAAUUUAAUUUUUCUACUUUGUACUCCCUCCGUCCCAAAAUAAGUGACUCAACUUUGUACUAAGAGGGAGUAUAUACAUAUUGGUUCUUUGGAUGCUUUCGUUUAAAGAUUUGCAGAGAUCAAUGAGGAUUUGGGUGGCAUGAAGGGGACUGGUGAUAGGAAACAUGGGUCCAAGAAGAAAUCAAACAGCAUGAUGAGUUGUUCUUCCUUUUCAACCGUGUUCUUGAAUUGGAAUUAUGUUUUAUAAAGUGCUUGUGUGUUGGUCAGAUGUAUAUAAGUGAAAGAAAAUAAAAAAUGGAUGGAGAAAGGGAACUUCUUGCUUUUCUUUUCCUUUUGUUUCUCUGUUUGAUAAUUACUCCCUACGAUGAGAACGUUUACGAAUAGAAAUGUCCUACUCCUUGAUCCCUUUUAGUGUGAAGGGCUCGACGGCAAGCAUGACCGUCUGCUCCACGCUUUAUUGGUUGUAUCUCUGGCUCCGUGUGCGCUGCGCCACACGCGUGUUUGUUGCUUGCGUGCUGCUGCUGCGUGUAUGGUGUGUUGGCUUGAUGUUUGUGUGUGUGUGUGUGUGUGUGUGUGUGCACGCGCACUAGCUAGGUGAGGAUCACUGGCUCACUGCUCUCUCUCUGUAGCUUCUUAGGGGAAAAAUACUUUGCCGCGGGUCUGCAUCAUGCUUCUAGCAUCUUUCCAGGCAGUUAGAUGUUUCCAAGAUCAAGAGAGAAAAGGUCAUUGCAUGCAUAUACUUUUAGAUGACACAUGACCAGAAGUCUUUCCUAUGAAAAUCAUGUGGCCUUGUGACACCCCGACCCUUUUCUUCAGAAAUUUGUGAUGUGUUUAUGCAUGUCUGUUGUGAUGUGCAUAGGAGCAUGAUUUGUUCUGCCACUUUAGGCAUUAGCACACCUAUAAUACAGGUCUUGAGUCUACAAAGCGCGCCUGUGAAUUGGCAAUGUCUGCAUAAAUAUGAUGAAUUAAAUUAUGUUUUGAGAGGGAUUUGUUCAUCUUCAAAACUAAGGAAGUUGGGUGAGCUUAAAACACCUAUUCAUCAUUUUCAGUGAACUUUUCUAAUUCUAUUUUAAAUCCACAAGAGGGCAAAAUCAUUUCUCUUUCCCAAAUCAUCUAAAUCGGAUGGGUGGGUUCCAAACUCCCAGCGCCAUUUGUCAUUUUUGUGUUUUGAUUUGUACUUGAGUGCCUUUGGACCGAUGGUACUAUGGAGAGGUGACAUUAACACCAUUGAUGGUUGCUUCUCUCCUGUAGACUAAAUCUCCUUCUUCUCUAUGUCAAUAUAUCAACAAAACAAGAGAUCUAUAAUAUCAUUGUUUAUGGAGUUCACAGAUUAUCGAAGAUUUUUGCUGCCAUGGAAUUGUGAGUUUGUGACUAUACAUUCUUGUGUCCUACAUGUGAAUUGAAGAUAUAUUGUCUCUGUAUGUGAAUGUAAAUAUCCAGGUAUGUAGGCAAGUCCUAACUUUUAUGCACAUAUUUAUCUAUGAAAUGCAUGCAAGCAAAUCACAUCUUACAUACAAUUGCCCCCUUAUUGGUAAAUGUGAUGAUCCUUAAAUUAACCGGUUGGAGAUCGGUAGACAGUCCUGUGUAUUGACAACUGGAGUUUAGUGCUCAAAAUCCUUCUAACUUUUCUACUGACUGUAUUUUCUUGACAGCUUUAAGAGAAGAACGAGUACUGUUAGUCAUUCUUUGUCAUGUAUAAUAGUAUAAUACUGGAGAUGUGAAUGGAUAAUGUUCAUUUAGUACAGUAUCAGUAGAUGAUGAUUUGUUUCCUUCGCAGUCAACUCAUGUAUAUCCUGAUAUGUUUGAUCUAUUCCCAAAUUAAUGCAUAAAGUAGCCUUAACAAUUA